rnacentral:rRNA from 1 species
GGUUUUUUGGUUUUAUAUAAAAUUUAUUCUGCUCAAUGGUUGAAGUUAAAUGGCUGCGGUAAUAUGACUGUGUGAAAGUAGCGUGAUAAUUAGUUCAUUAAUUGUGAACUUGAAUGAAUGGAUAAAUAAGAUGUUGACUGUCUUAUUUUUACUAAUAUUAAAUUUAAUGUUUUAGUUAAAAAGCUGAAUUAUUUUAAAGGGACGAGAAGACCCUAUAGAACUUUAUUUUUAAUUAUUUUAUUAUUUAAUUAAUUAUUUUAUUUUAUUUAUUUAAAGAUUUUGUUGGGGUGACAGAUAGAAUUAAUAAAUUUUGUUUGUUAUUUUCUUUAAUUUUAGUGCAAUUAAGUAAUUUUUUUUAAAAAAAAAAGACUGAGUUACCUUAGGGAUAACAGCGUUAUUUGUAUGGAGAGUUCUAAUCAAUAUACAAGAUUGCGACCUCGAUGUUGAAUUAAGUUUAAUUUUUAUGGAAGUUUAUAAAUAUAUUAGGUCUGUUCGACCUUUAAAAUCUUACA